GUCUAUGGCCAUGCCACCCUGAACAUGCCCAAUCUUGGAAGCUAAGCAGGGCCGGGCCUGGUUAGUACUUGGAUGGGAGACCACAAAGGAAUAACAGGUGCUGUAGGCA
rnacentral:rRNA from 1 species